CCUACGGGAGGCAGCAGUGGGGAAUAUUGGACAAUGGGGGCAACCCUGAUCCAGCCAUGCCGCGUGUGUGAAGAAGGCCCUCGGGUUGUAAAGCACUUUCAGUGAGGAAGAACGCCUGGUGGUUAAUACCCAUCAGGAAAGACAUCACUCACAGAAGAAGCACCGGCUAACUCCGUGUCAGCAGCCGCGGUAAUACGGAGGGUGCGAGCGUUAAUCGGAAUUACUGGGCGUAAAGCGCGCGUAGGUGGCUUGAUAAGCCGGUUGUGAAAGCCCCGGGCUCAACCUGGGAACGGCAUCCGGAACUGUCAAGCUAGAGUGCAGGAGAGGAAGGUAGAAUUCCCGGUGUAGCGGUGAAAUGCGUAGAGAUCGGGAGGAAUACCAGUGGCGAAGGCGGCCUUCUGGACUGACACUGACACUGAGGUGCGAAAGCGUGGGUAGCAAACAGGAUUAGAUACCCCUGUAGUC
rnacentral:rRNA from 1 species